CUUCCCCGGCGGCUUUUUUUCAUUUUAGAGUUUUAAUCAUGCUCAGGACGAACGCUGGCGGCGUGCUUAACACAUGCAAGUCGAGCGGUAAGGCCUUUCGGGGUACACGAGCGGCGAACGGGUGAGUAACACGUGGGUGAUCUGCCCUGCACUUCGGGAUAAGCCUGGGAAACUGGGUCUAAUACCGGAUAUGACCUCCUAUCGCAUGGUGGGUGGUGGAAAGAUUUAUCGGUGCAGGAUGGGCCCGCGGCCUAUCAGCUUGUUGGUGGGGUAAUGGCCUACCAAGGCGACGACGGGUAGCCGACCUGAGAGGGUGACCGGCCACACUGGGACUGAGACACGGCCCAGACUCCUACGGGAGGCAGCAGUGGGGAAUAUUGCACAAUGGGCGAAAGCCUGAUGCAGCGACGCCGCGUGAGGGAUGACGGCCUUCGGGUUGUAAACCUCUUUCAGCAGGGACGAAGCGCAAGUGACGGUACCUGCAGAAGAAGCACCGGCUAACUACGUGCCAGCAGCCGCGGUAAUACGUAGGGUGCAAGCGUUGUCCGGAAUUACUGGGCGUAAAGAGUUCGUAGGCGGUUUGUCGCGUCGUUUGUGAAAACCAGCAGCUCAACUGCUGGCUUGCAGGCGAUACGGGCAGACUUGAGUACUGCAGGGGAGACUGGAAUUCCUGGUGUAGCGGUGAAAUGCGCAGAUAUCAGGAGGAACACCGGUGGCGAAGGCGGGUCUCUGGGCAGUAACUGACGCUGAGGAACGAAAGCGUGGGUAGCGAACAGGAUUAGAUACCCUGGUAGUCCACGCCGUAAACGGUGGGCGCUAGGUGUGGGUUCCUUCCACGGAAUCCGUGCCGUAGCUAACGCAUAAGCGCCCCGCUUGUGUGGGGCCGACUUCCA
rnacentral:rRNA from 1 species